UGUUCAUGUGCUGCUCGUGCGUGCUCCUGCAGAAGGAGUUCAGUAGCUCCAUCCCCAUGGCAAAAAGCAAGCAGAGGGCAAACAACAGAUGAAGCAAUUUAAUUUAUUUUUGCAUGAUCAGGCUUCCAAAAUGCCGGGUGAUACAUGACGGUGGAGUAUAUGCAAAUAUUUACUGAAAUGGUUUCAGGUCAAAGUCAAGUAUACAAGCAUUGCCUGAUCCCCAUUACCCAGCAUGCUCCACGCCCACCUACUCGGAAGGCAGAUGAAGGCUCAUCAGGUGGCGAAGCCGAUGGCGGGUGAUGCACUUGGAAGAGGAAAGAACGAAAGGCAGAACUCUUUCACCUCAAGUCAUCUACCUUUCAAAGCUUCAUUGCUGA